rnacentral:rRNA from 1 species
AAUAGCAUCAGAGUGUAGGCUACCGUAUGAUAACCCCUUAAGAGAUGCCCACUUUAGAAGGCAAUUUUCCCGUGCCUCUCUCUAGAAGAUCACCAGUUCAGAUACGGAGUACCGCGCCACACGCCAAACCUUAGCGGUAAGCACGGAGGACCACCUCCCAUGGUAAAUACUACCAUGAUGUUUCACACCUUUUACUACCGCGAGGGACAGGUGAAUAUUAUCACUGGAUGGCAGGGAAAUACCAACCUCAAUUCGUGUCGAUACCACUGUUUGGAGCCCCUCAUGAGGGUGAUGAGGCGUCCUAUGUAGAAUGAGCCAACAAAUUAUUCUAUGUAGCAAGAUUAAGUACUUAAUGCACUGACCCGAACGCAAACCGCGACCUACUAUCGUGACUAGCUACAUGCCAGAGACCCGAAACAGGUUGACCACAUCCAUGUCAAUGUUGAAUCGAGGGUAACACCUCAUGCAGGACCGAACUACGAGUGCUGACGGAAUUGCCAGUCAUCACCUAAUGAUAGCGGAGACAUUCCAAUCGAUCCCGGAGAUAUCCGGUUCUCUAAGCAAUAGCUUAGAGGCUAACUUCUAACAUGAGUAGUGGAAUUACAGCACCCAUUGUCCUAUGGGGUAUAGCGCUUACCGAACCUUAUUGCACUUCGAAUGCCACAGACUUUCAGCUCGCCUGUCAGACUACAACUGCUAAUUUACCUGGCCAACACGGUACACGUCCAGAUCGAUCCCUCAUGACCCAAAGUGUAUGUCCAGUGAGAAAGGAUGUGAGAUUUCCAACACAAUUAGUAUGUUGGCUUAAAAACGUCCAUUCAUUAAAUGACUGCUUACAUAUCUCACUUGUCUAAAGAUCUGGCGCCAAUAUUGUAACGGGUCUUAAAUUCACCACCAAAACUACUGGCCAUAAACUUAGUUCAAAGUGGUA